UACGUAGGGUGCGAGCGUUGUCCGGAAUUACUGGGCGUAAAGAGCUCGUAGGUGGUUUGUCGCGUUGUUCGUGAAAACUCACAACUCAAUUGUGGGCGUGCGGGCGAUACGGGCAGACUGGAGUACUGCAGGGGAGACUGGAAUUCCUGGUGUAGCGGUGGAAUGCGCAGAUAUCAGGAGGAACACCGAUGGCGAAGGCAGAUCUCCUGGGCCGUAACUGAACGCU
rnacentral:rRNA from 1 species